GGCAGCGUAGCUCAGUCGGUAGAGCAGAGGACUCAUAAGCCUUUGGUCGGGGGUUCAAAUCCCUCCGCUGCUACCA
rnacentral:tRNA from 1 species